UACAGAGGGUGCAAGCGUUGUCCGGAAUUAUUGGGCGUAAAGAGCGUGUAGGCGGCCCGGUAAGUCCGCUGUAAAAGUCAAAGGCUCAACCUUUGAAUGUCAGUGGAUACUGCCGGGCUAGAGUCCGGAAGAGGCGAGUGGAACUCCUGGUGUAGCGGUGGAAUGCGCAGAUAUCAGGAAGAACACCAACGGCGAAGGCAGCUCGCUGGGACGGUACUGACGCUGAGACGCGAAAGCGUGGGGAGCGAACAGG
rnacentral:rRNA from 1 species